GCGUAUAUUAAGUUGUUGCAGUUAAAAAGCUCGUAGUUGAAUUUCGGGGUUAGUAAGUUGGUCAUGCCUCCGGUAUGUACUGGCUUUACUGAUUCCUCCUUCUUGACGAACCGUGAUGUCAUUAAUUUGGUGUUGCGGGAAAUCAGGACUGUUACUUUGAAAAAAUUAGAGUGUUUAAAGCAGGCUAACGCUUGAAUACAUUAGCAUGGAAUAAUGAAAUAGGACGUUAAUCCUAUUUUGUUGGUUUCUAGGAUCGACGUAAUGAUUAAUAGGGAUAGUUGGGGGCAUUAGUAUUCAAUUGUCAGAGGUGAAAUUCUUGGAUUUAUUGAAGACUAACUACCGCGAAAGCAUUUGCCAAGGAUGUUUUCAUUAAUCAAGAACGAAAGUUAGGGGAUCGAAGACGAUCAGAUACCGUCGUAGUCUUAACCAUAAA
rnacentral:rRNA from 1 species